AUUGAACGCUGGCGGCAUGCCUUACACAUGCAAGUCGAACGGCAGCACGGGAGCAAUCCUGGUGGCGAGCGGCGAACGGGUGAGUAAUAUAUCGGAACGUGCCCAGUCGUGGGGGAUAACGCAGCGAAAGCUGUGCUAAUACCGCAUACGAUCUACGGAUGAAAGCGGGGGAUCGCAAGACCUCGCGCGAUUGGAGCGGCCGAUAUCAGAUUAGCUAGUUGGUGGGGUAAAAGCCCACCAAGGCGACGAUCUGUAGCUGGUCUGAGAGGACGACCAGCCACACUGGAACUGAGACACGGUCCAGACUCCUACGGGAGGCAGCAGUGGGGAAUUUUGGACAAUGGGCGCAAGCCUGAUCCAGCAAUGCCGCGUGCAGGAUGAAGGCCUUCGGGUUGUAAACUGCUUUUGUACGGAGCGAAACGGUCUCUUCUAAUACAAGGGGCUAAUGACGGUACCGUAAGAAUAAGCACCGGCUAACUACGUGCCAGCAGCCGCAGUAAUAC
rnacentral:rRNA from 1 species